rnacentral:rRNA from 1 species
CCUACGGGUGGCAGCAGUGGGGAAUAUUGGACAAUGGACCAAAAGUCUGAUCCAGCAAUUCUGUGUGCACGAUGAAGUUUUUCGGAAUGUAAAGUGCUUUCAGUUGGGAAGAAGUCAGUGACGGUACCAACAGAAGAAGCACCGGCUAACUCCGUGCCAGCAGCCGCGGUAAUACGGAGGGUGCAAGCGUUAAUCGGAAUUACUGGGCGUAAAGCGCACGCAGGCGGUCUGUCAAGUCGGAUGUGAAAUCCCCGGGCUCAACCCCGUAUUGCGUUGGAAACUGCUAAACUAGAGUACUGGAGAGGUAGGCGGAACUACAAGUGUAGAGGUGAAAUUCGUAGAUAUUUGUAGGAAUGCCGAUGGGGAAGCCAGCCUACUGGACAGAUACUGACGCUAAAGCGCGAAAGCGUGGGUAGCAAACAGG